CUCUUGUUGCAUCAUUGCCAUGUACUUCCUCCAUGCAGAUAUCACACAUCACCAUGGAAGAAGGCUCAGAGGAACUGUUACUUCGAUUCUCAAUCAUAGUAACACCAGCUGUAGCAAACAAGUGACUUUUCCCUUUCUCCACAAGUACUGCAAACAAUUUCUCUACAUCCCAUCGGUAAUGAAUGAGUAAGGUCCGAGCAUGGUAUUCCCUCAACGAUAGCAAGUCCAUCACUCUACGCAUAUCCUCCUUCUGUGCCGCAAGGAGAGAUUCCUUCGUAAUAACCUUAGUCGCGGGACCUUUAGGAACCCACUGAAUUUCAGAGUCCUCGUUCUCAAGACCAUGGAGAGAGUCUCGAUCGGAG
rnacentral:misc_RNA from 1 species